rnacentral:rRNA from 1 species
UACAGAGGUCUCAAGCGUUGUUCGGAUUCAUUGGGCGUAAAGGGUGCGUAGGCGGCGCGGUAAGUCGGGUGUGAAGUCUCGGAGCUUAACUCCGAAACUGCAUUCGAUACUGCGGUGCUUGAGGACUGGAGAGGAGACUGGAAUUCAUGGUGUAGCAGUGAAAUGCGUAGAGAUCAUGAGGAAGACCAGUGGCGAAGGCGGGUCUCUGGACAGUUCCUGACACUGAGGCACGAAGGCCAGGGGAGCAAACGGG